rnacentral:lncRNA from 1 species
UUCAGGUCUAGGUUGAUGGUCAUCAUUCCAGGUCUAAAGUCAAAAUUCUCUUUCACAAUCUUGAGAAUCUCCUUGUCAGGAAUCUUUCCUGUUCCAUAGGUGUCCACAAAGACAGACAAAGGCUCAGGAACACCAAUGGCAUAGGAAACCUGCACGAUACACCGGCGAGCAAGACCAUUUGCUACAAUACUCUUGGCUGCCUGCCUAACAAUAUAAGCACCGCUCCUGUCCACCUUGGUUGGGU